GGGUUGUGAGGUUAAGCGACUAAGCGUACACGGUGGAUGCCCUGGCAGUCAGAGGCGAUGAAGGACGUGCUAAUCUGCGAUAAGCGUCGGUAAGGUGAUAUGAACCGUUAUAACCGGCGAUUUCCGAAUGGGGAAACCCAGUGUGUUUCGACACACUAUCAUUAACUGAAUCCAUAGGUUAAUGAGGCGAACCGGGGGAACUGAAACAUCUAAGUACCCCGAGGAAAAGAAAUCAACCGAGAUUCCCCCAGUAGCGGCGAGCGAACGGGGAGGAGCCCAGAGCCUGAAUCAGUGUGUGUGUUAGUGGAAGCGUCUGGAAAGGCGCGCGAUACAGGGUGACAGCCCCGUACACAAAAAUGCACAUGCUGUGAGCUCGAUGAGUAGGGCGGGACACGUGGUAUCCUGUCUGAAUAUGGGGGGACCAUCCUCCAAGGCUAAAUACUCCUGACUGACCGAUAGUGAACCAGUACCGUGAGGGAAAGGCGAAAAGAACCCCGGCGAGGGGAGUGAAAAAGAACCUGAAACCGUGUACGUACAAGCAGUGGGAGCACGCUUAGGCGUGUGACUGCGUACCUUUUGUAUAAUGGGUCAGCGACUUAUAUUCUGUAGCAAGGUUAACCGAAUAGGGGAGCCGAAGGGAAACCGAGUCUUAACUGGGCGUUAAGUUGCAGGGUAUAGACCCGAAACCCGGUGAUCUAGCCAUGGGCAGGUUGAAGGUUGGGUAACACUAACUGGAGGACCGAACCGACUAAUGUUGAAAAAUUAGCGGAUGACUUGUGGCUGGGGGUGAAAGGCCAAUCAAACCGGGAGAUAGCUGGUUCUCCCCGAAAGCUAUUUAGGUAGCGCCUCGUGAAUUCAUCUCCGGGGGUAGAGCACUGUUUCGGCAAGGGGGUCAUCCCGACUUACCAACCCGAUGCAAACUGCGAAUACCGGAGAAUGUUAUCACGGGAGACACACGGCGGGUGCUAACGUCCGUCGUGAAGAGGGAAACAACCCAGACCGCCAGCUAAGGUCCCAAAGUCAUGGUUAAGUGGGAAACGAUGUGGGAAGGCCCAGACAGCCAGGAUGUUGGCUUAGAAGCAGCCAUCAUUUAAAGAAAGCGUAAUAGCUCACUGGUCGAGUCGGCCUGCGCGGAAGAUGUAACGGGGCUAAACCAUGCACCGAAGCUGCGGCAGCGACGCUUAUGCGUUGUUGGGUAGGGGAGCGUUCUGUAAGCCUGUGAAGGUGUGCUGUGAGGCAUGCUGGAGGUAUCAGAAGUGCGAAUGCUGACAUAAGUAACGAUAAAGCGGGUGAAAAGCCCGCUCGCCGGAAGACCAAGGGUUCCUGUCCAACGUUAAUCGGGGCAGGGUGAGUCGACCCCUAAGGCGAGGCCGAAAGGCGUAGUCGAUGGGAAACAGGUUAAUAUUCCUGUACUUGGUGUUACUGCGAAGGGGGGACGGAGAAGGCUAUGUUGGCCGGGCGACGGUUGUCCCGGUUUAAGCGUGUAGGCUGGUUUUCCAGGCAAAUCCGGAAAAUCAAGGCUGAGGCGUGAUGACGAGGCACUACGGUGCUGAAGCAACAAAUGCCCUGCUUCCAGGAAAAGCCUCUAAGCAUCAGGUAA
rnacentral:rRNA from 1 species